CCGAUUCUUCCUGGGCACUUGGAUGGCCCGGGGCGGUUGGGUCAUCGUCCGGGGGGAGGUUCUCCCUAGACGGGCCUUAAAGGCAAUGACGGUGGCCGCGGUUUGGCCCUGGAGCGCAAUCGGGUUUUGCUUCCAGAGGGGCUGGAUCGGGCCAACCUGUCUCUCUCCCCUGGCGUUCUUAAGACGCCUCGCUGUCCGUCC
rnacentral:misc_RNA from 1 species